rnacentral:rRNA from 1 species
UUUAUGGAGAGUUUGAUCCUGGCUCAGGAUGAACGCUGGCGGCGUGCCUAAUACAUGCAAGUCGAGCGAACGGACGAGAAGCUUGCUUCUCUGAUGUUAGCGGCGGACGGGUGAGUAACACGUGGAUAACCUACCUAUAAGACUGGGAUAACUUCGGGAAACCGGAGCUAAUACCGGAUAAUAUUUUGAACUGCAUGGUUCAAAAGUAAAAGACGGUCUUGCUGUCACUUAUAGAUGGAUCCGCGCUGCAUUAGCUAGUUGGUAAGGUAAC